rnacentral:lncRNA from 1 species
GUGGUGUGUAGUGUGGUGGUGGUGUGCGUAGUGGUGUGUGUGGUGGUGUGCGUAGUGGUGUGUGUAGUGGUGGUGUGUGUAGUGGUGGUGUGUGUAGUGGUGGUGGUGUGUAGUGGUGGUGGUGUGUAGUGGUGGUGGUGGUGGUGUGUGUAGUGGUGUGUAGUGGUGGUGGUGGUGUGUAGUGAUGGUGGUUUGUGUAGUGAUGGUGGUGGUGGUGUGUAGUGGUGGUGGUGGUGUGUAGUGGUGGUGGUGGUGGUGUGUGUAGUGAUGGUGGUGUGUGUAGUGAUGGAGGUGGUGGUGUGUGUGGUGGUGUGUAGUGAUGGUGGUGUGUAGUGGUGGUAGUGUGUAGUGGUGGUGGUGGUGGUGUGUAGUGAUGGGUGUAGUGGUGGUGGUGGUGGUGUGUAGUGGUGGUGGUGGUGUUUAGUGGUGGUGGUGGUGUGUAGUGGUGGUGGUUUGUGUAGUGAUGGUGGUGGUGGUGUGUAGUGGUGGUGGUGUGUAGUGGUGGUGGUUUGUGUAGUGAUGGUGGUGGUGGUGUGUAGUGGUGGUGGUGUGUAGUGAUGGUGGUGUGUGUAGUGAUGGAGGUGGUGGUGUGUGUAGUGGUGGUGGUGUGUGUAGUGGUGUGCAGUGAUGGUGGUGGUGUGCAGUGAUGGUGGUGGUGUGUAGUGAUGGUGGUGGUGGUGGUGUGUAGUGAUGGUGGUGGGGCGGUGGUGUGUAGUGAUGGUGGUGGUGGUGUGUAGUGAUGGAGGUGUGUAGUGAUGGAGGUGGUGGUGUGUAGAGAUGGAGGUGGUGGUGUGUAGUGGUGGUGGUGUGCAUAGUGGUGUGUGUAGUGGUUGUGGUGUGUGUAGUGGUGGUGUGUAGUGGUGGUGGUGGUGUGCGUAGUGGUGUGUGUGGUGGUGUGCGUAGUGGUGUGUGUAGUGGUGGUGUGUGUAGUGGUGGUGGUGGUGUGUAGUGAUGGUGGUGGUGUGUGUAGUGGUGGUGUGUAGUGGUGUGUGUGGUGGUGUGUAGUGGUGGUGGUGUGCGUAGUGGUGUGUGUGGUGGUGUACGUAGUGGUGUGUGUAGUGGUGGUGGUGUGUGUAGUGGUGGUGGUGGUGGUGUGUAGUGGUGGUGGUGGUGGUGGUGGUGUGUAGUGGUGGUGGUGGUGUGUGUAGUGGUGUGUGUAGUGGUGGUGGUGGUGGUGUGUAGUGGUGGUGGUGGUGGUGGUGUGUAGUGAUGGUGGUUUGUGUAGUGAUGGUGGUGGUGGUGUGUAGUGGUGGUGGUGUGUAGUGAUGGUGGUGUGUGUAGUGAUGGAGGUGGUGGUGUGUGUGGUGGUGUGUAGUGAUGGUGGUGUGUAGUGGUGGUGGUGGUGUGUGUAGUGGUGGUGGUGGUGUGUAGUGAUGGGUGUAGUGGUGGUGGUGGUGGUGUGUAGUGGUGGUGGUGGUGUGUAGUGAUGGUGGUUUGUGUCGUGAUGGUGGUGUGUAGUGGUGGUGGUGUGUAGUGGUGGUGAUGUGUAGUGAUGGUGGUGUGUGUAGUGAUGGAGGUGGUGGUUUGUGUAGUAGUGGUGGUGUGUAGUGAUGGUGGUGUGUAGUGUGAUGGUGGUGGUGGUGGUGUGUGUAGUAGUGGUGGUGUGUAGUGAUGGUGGUGUGUAGUGUGGUGGUGGUGUGUGUAGUGAUGGAGGUGGUGGUGUGUAGUGAUGGUGGUGGUGUGUAGUCAUGGUGGUGUUGGUGUGUGUAGUGAUGGUGUUGGUGUGUGUAGUGAUGGUGUUGGUGGUGUGUAGUGGUGGUGGUGUUGGUGGUGGUGGUGUGUAGUGAUGGUGGUGGUGGUGUGUGUAGUAAUGGUGGUGUGUAGUGUGUUGGUGGUGUGUGUAGUGUUGGAGGUGGUGGUGUGUAGUGAUGGUGGUGGUGUGUAGUCAUGGUGGUGUUGGUGUGUGUAGUGAUGGUGUUGGUGGUGUGUAGUGGUGGUGUUGGUGUGUUGUGAUGGUGUGUAAUGGUGGUGGAGUGUGUAGUGGUGGUGGUGGUGGUGUGUAGUGGUGGUGGUUGUGUUUAGUGAUGGUGGUGUGUGAAGUGGUGGUGGUGGUGUGUCUAGUGAUGGAGGUGGUGGUGUGUGUAGUGAUGGAGGUGGUGGUGUGUAGUCAUGGUGGUGUUGGUGUGUAUUCAUGGUGGUGUUGGGGUGUAGUGGUGGUGGUGUGUGUAGUGGUGGUGGUGGUGGUGUGUAGUGGUGGUGGUGUGUGUGGUGGUGGUGGUGUGUGUAGUGAUGUUGGUGGUGUGUGUAGUGGUGGUGUGUGUAGUGAUGGUGGUGGUGUGUAGUGGUGGUGGUGGUGUGUAGUGAUGGUGGUGUGUCUAGUGAUGGUGGUGGUGGUGUGUAGUGAUGGUGGUGGUGUGUAGUGAUGGUGGUGGUGUGUGUAGUGGUGGUGGUUGUGUGUGUAGUGGUUGUGUGUGUAGUGAUGGUGGUGGUGUGUUGGUGGUGGUGUGUGUAGUGAUGGUGGUCGUGUGUAGUGGUGGUGGUGGUGGUUUGUAGUGAUGGUGGUGGUGUGUAGUGAUGGUGGUGGUAGUGUGUGUAGUGAUGGUGGUGGUAGUGUGUGUAGUGAUGGUGGUGUGUGUAGUGAUGGUGGUGUGUGUAGUGAUGGUGGUGUGUGUAGUGAUGGUGGUGGUGUGUGUAGUGAUGGUGGUGGUGUGUGUAGUGACGGUGGUGGUGUGUGUAGUGAUGGUGUUGGUGUGUAGUGAUGGUGGUGUGUGUAGUGAUGGUGGUGUGUGUGUAGUGAUGGUGGUGUGUGUGUAGUGAUGGUGGUGUGUGUGUAGUGAUGGUGGUGGUGUGUGUAGUGAUGGUGGUGGUGUGUGUAGUGAUGGUGGUGUGUCUAGUGAUGGUGUUUUUUGUGUAGUGAUGGUGAUGGUGUGUGUAGUGGUGGUGGUGUGUGUAGUGAUGGUGUUUUUUGUGUAGUGAUGGUGGUGGUGUGUAGUGAUGGUGGUGGUGUGUAGUGAUGGUGGUGGUGUGUAGUGAUGGUGGUGUGUGUAGUGAUGGUGGUGGUGUGUAGUGAUGGUGGUGGUGUGUAUUGAUGGUGGUGUGUGUAGUGAUGGUGGUGUGUGUAGUGAUGGUGGUGGAGCUGUUCUAUGAUUUGAAACAGGAGGAACAUGUCCCACCCCUGUCAGAGUUUAAUUGUGGAGAGACGGUGUCAGGGACUUCUGAUUGGAUGAUAUCAUUCUCGUUGGCGAUGAUGUGCUUCACCAGACAGUUGGCUGCUUCAUCUAUAUUCAUAUUCUCCUAGAGAGAGAGAAGGAGAGAGGAGAGAGAAGGAGAGAGAGAGAGCAGAAGAGAGAGAGAUAGAAAGAGAGAGAGAGAGAGCAGAAGAGAGAGAGAGCAGAAGAGAGAGAGAGAGAGAGAGAGAGAGAGAGAGAGAGAGCAGAAGAGAGAGAGAGAGCAGAAGAGAGAGAGAGAGAGAGCACA